AAGUGUCUGAGAAGAUUUUCAGAGAAGCAUCAAAUGAGAUGCUUGUGAUAGGAGAGUUGCCAUUGGCUUUCAUUGAAUGCAUGGCUUGGAAACACUUUUGUGACACGUAAACUUGUACAAACCUCACUCAAGAAGAACAGCAACAAGAGACAUUGUUCACAUUUAUGUUGAUAGGAAGGCUACUAUGAAACAAUGGUUCCUAACUAACAAGCAAAGAGUCUCACUUACAACAGAUAUUUGGAAGUGUGAGAUCACUGGUUCAAGUUAUAUGGUUAUAACAGCACAUUACAUUGAUGCUCACUGGCGGUUAAAGAAGCUGAUCGUAGGGUUCAAAUAUGUCACAGAUCAUAAAGGUAUUACCAUUGCUAAAGUCCUUCUUGAAUGCUUAGCUGACUGGGGAAUAGAGAAGGUAUUAUGUGUCAUUGUGGACAAUGCAACAGCUAAUAGUAAUGCAUUGUCAACGUUUGAAUCCAACUUCCCUUUGAUAUCUGAUGAUUCUUUAGUGAUGAAAGGGGAUUUUUUUACAUAUGAGAUGUGCUGGUCAUAUUAUUAAUUUGAUUGUGAGGGACGGAUUGGAUAAAAUAGAUGAUAGUGUGGCUGCAAUCCAUAAUGCUAUAUUAUAUUUUAGAUCAGGAGGCAGAAGGCAAGAUGCAUUUGAUCUUAAGGUAGAAUCUAGUAGGAUGACAAGGGGCUUUUUGCCAUUAGAUGUAACAACUAGAUGGAAUUCCACAUAUUUGAUGUUGUCAAGGGCAUUUAAGUACAAGGAAGCUUUUGAUAAGAUGGAGCUUGAAGACAAACUGUACAAUGAUCAUUUCAUGGAGGUUAUAGGUGGUAAAAACGGAUUGGACCUCCUUCAAUGGCUGAUUGGCAUGCAGUUCAAAGGCUAAAUAAGUUCCUAAACAUUUUUUACGAUUCCACAUUGGUAGUCUCAGCUUCUACAACUCUGAAUGCACACAAGUGUUAGGGUGAGAUAGUGAACAUAGCAUCAGAGCUUCAAUUGCUUUGUAACAACUCUGAUAGUGAUCUGAGGGUGAAAGCUCAAGAAAUGUUUAAGAAAUUUGAUAAGUAUUGGGAUGGCUUGAAGAACAUCAACAAGAUGUUGGUAAUAGUUACUGUCUUUGAUCCAAGAAAGAAGAUGCAGUUUGCAAAAAUGUGUUUUGACGAGUUGUAUGGAGAAGACUCUACAC